rnacentral:rRNA from 1 species
CACCUCGCGACUGGAGAGCGGCGCGGGCCACGCCGUAAAACACCCAACUCUUCUGAAGUUGACCUCGAAUCAGGUAGGAAUACCCGCUGAACUUAAGCAUAUCAAUAAGCGGAGGAAAAGAAACCAACAGGGAUUGCCCCAGUAACGGCGAGUGAAGCGGCAACAGCUCAAAUUUGAAAUCUGGCUCUCGGGCCCGAGUUGUAAUUUGUAGAGGAUGCUUUUGGUGAGGUGCCUUCCGAGUUCCCUGGAACGGGACGCCAUAGAGGGUGAGAGCCCCGUCUGGUUGGACGCCGAACCUCUGUAAAGCUCCUUCGACGAGUCGAGUAGUUUGGGAAUGCUGCUCUAAAUGGGAGGUAUAUGUCUUCUAAAGCUAAAUACCGGCCAGAGACCGAUAGCGCACAAGUAGAGUGAUCGAAAGAUGAAAAGAACUUUGAAAAGAGAGUUAAACAGUACGUGAAAUUGUUGAAAGGGAAGCGCUUGUGACCAGACUUGGGCUUGGUUGAUCAUCCGGGGUUCUCCCCGGUGCACUCUUCCGGCCUAGGCCAGCAUCAGUUCGCCCUGGGGGAUAAAGGCUUCGGGAACGUGGCUCUCUCCGGGGAGUGUUAUAGCCCGCUGCGUAAUACCCUGUGGCGGACUGAGGUUCGCGCAUUCGCAAGGAUGCUGGCGUAAUGGUCAUCAGUGACCCGUCUUGAAACACGGACCAAGGAGUCGUCUUCGUAUGCGAGUGUUCGGGUGUCAAACCCCUACGCGAAAUGAAAGUGAACGCAGGUGAGAGCUUCGGCGCAUCAUCGACCGAUCCUGAUGUUAUCGGAUGGAUUUGAGUAAGAGCAUACGGGGCCGGACCCGAAAGAAGGUGAACUAUGCCUGUGUAGGGUGAAGCCAGAGGAAACUCUGGUGGAGGCUCGCAGCGGUUCUGACGUGCAAAUCGAUCGUCAAACAUGGGCAUGGGGGCGAAAGACUAAUCGACUC